UUUGAAAUCUCCGGUGCCUGCACCGGCGAAUUGUAGUCUGUAGGGCCAGUUUCGCCCGAGACGGUGUCCCCAAAGUCGUCCUGGAAAGGCGGGCCGGAGAGGGUGAGAGCCCCGUGCGUGGGGGCAUCGUCGGAGGUAAGAUCUGUGCCCGAAGAGUCGGGUUGUUUGGGAUUGCAGCCCAAAAUGGGUGGUAAACUCCAUCUAAAGCUAAAUACUGGCACGAGACCGAUAGCGAACAAGUACCGUGAGGGAAAGAUGAAAAGCACUUUGAAAAGAGAGUCAAACAGUACGUGAAACCGUCAGGAGGGAAACGAACGAGGUUGGUGCAGUGAUCACGCAGGUUCAAGCACCGCCGAAGGUGCCGACACGGUGACGAAGAUCGUCCCGUGCCGUCCGCCCGAGGCGGUGCCGUACUCCUCGUGAGCGCGGACCAGCGGCGGUUGGACCGGAGCCACAAGGCGACGGAGGAAGGUGAGUCGACACGGGCCAGUCCUGUGUCGACAGCUUACAGCCCCGUCGUACGGUGCUCAGGCCCGACCGAGGAAAUCGGGCAGCCCUUGCCCACCACGGCACACGCCGAAUGGCGGGGCCUCCCGAUGCGAGUGAACCGUGCGGUGUGGACUGCAUGCAGUGCAAAUCGUGGCGGCGAUCUCGUGGCGGUGAGUGCCACAUGUGUGCCAGUGCUGCUGGUAUUC
rnacentral:rRNA from 1 species